UAAUUCCCAUUCAUUUCCUUUUCAAAACUCAGCAACCUUUCAUUUUUAUUUUUAAAAACAGAAGCUUUAACCCCUCCCCCUAGUGUUUGAUUCAACAUGCAGCUGCCUAAACCAUCAUUUAUUUGAUGGCCGACUGUGCACCAAUGGCGAUUGGACCUUGUCAACGGAGGACACGCCCACGGAGAUCGAGUGAUGGGACGAUGGGAUGGGGUUAGGUGGUGGCAGUAGGUACAAAGGCUGAACAUAGGGCUAGGUUUUUUUUUUUUUUCUGAUUUUGUUUGGGUUAAGGUUAGUUUGGUUUAGGUUGAAAUUGGGUCGGGCAAUUUGGGCCUUCUACAUAUAUUAUCCAUUUAAUUUCAAUAAUAUGUUGAAAAAUAUUUGGGUAAAUUACACCAUUAGUCACUAUUAUGGUAAGUUUUCGUUUUGAUCACUUAACUAAAAAAGUUACAAUUUGGUCACUAAACUAUUCAAAUAUUUUUAUUUGAGUCACUGAACUAUUUAAUUUUUUUUAAGUCACUAAGUUGUUAUUUAAAAAAAAAAGUUUCAUUAGUGAGCUCCAAGCGACAAUUCGACGAUUGGUAUGAUGGAUCAGUACCCAUUUAUGAGUAGAAGAACAUACAUUAGAUCCAAGUUGAUUUGGUGAUCAGUGUCGGAGAUCGGAGAAAAUAAUUACUUGUAUUUUUGUUCGUAAAUUUGUGACGUCUAAAGUUAUUCCAUGAAAAAAAAAGUUGAAAUAGAAGAGAAAUGAAAGGAAAGUUUUCAAUUGGUGCAAGCAAUACAAAAAGAGAAAGGCAUACAACAUCGAUUUUAACACUUCGGUGACUUAAAUGAAAACUUUUGACAUGAAAAAAAAAGUUGAAAUGUAAAAGAGAAAGGGAAAUAAAACUUUCGAUUAGUGCCGGUAAUGCAAACAGAAAAAACCAUAUAUAGCAUCGAUUUUAACAAUCCAUUUAUUUAAAUGAAAACUUUUGAAUAAUUCAGUGACUAAAUUGUAACUUUUUUUAGUUAAUUUGACCAGAAUGAAAACAUACCUAUACUUUCGUGACUAAUUGUGAAAUUUA